UUGGAGGGCAGUCUGGUGCCAGCAGCCGCGGUAAUUCCAGCUCCAAUAGCGUAUAUUAAAGUUGUUGCAGUUAAAAAGCUCGUAGUUGAAUUUCGGGAUCAAUAUGUCGGUCGUGCCAUCGGUACGUACUGGUAUCAUUGGUCUCUCCUUUCUGACGAACCAUGAUGUCAUUAAUUUGGUGUUAUGGGGAGUUAGGACUGUUACUUUGAAAAAAUUAGAGUGUUUAAAGCAGGCAUUAGCUUGAAUACAUUAGCAUGGAAUAAUGAAAUAGGACGUUCGAACCUAUUUUGUUGGUUUCUAGGAUCAACGUAAUGAUUAAUAGGGAUAGUUGGGGCAUUAGUAUUCAAUUGUCAGAGGUGAAAUUCUUGGAUUUAUUGAAGACUAACUACUGCGAAAGCAUUUGCCAAGGAUGUUUUCAUUAAUCAAGAACGAAAGUUAGGGGAUCGAAGACGACCAGAUACCGUCGUAGUCUUAACCAUAAACUAUGCCGACUAGGGAUCGGAUGAUGUUAAUUUUUUAAUGACUCAUUCGGCGCCUUACGGGAAAC
rnacentral:rRNA from 1 species